rnacentral:rRNA from 1 species
UACGUCGGGGGCUAGCGUUGUCCGGAUUCAUUGGGCGUAAAGAGCGUGUAGGCGGCCAGGUAGGUCCGUUGUGAAAACUCGAGGCUCAACCUCGAGAUGUCGAUGGAAACCGUCUGGCUAGAGUCCGGAAGAGGAGUGUGGAAUUCCUGGUGUAGCGGUGAAAUGCGCAGAUAUCAGGAAGAACACCUAUGGCGAAGGCAGCACUCUGGGACGGUACUUACGCUGAGACGCGAAAGCGUGGGGAGCGAACAGG